GAACUCAGCCCUUUCGGGCGUUUCCUCCCAAUGACUCGGCCGCCCUCUUCUCCUGGAGGGCGGCCGUUCUUUUGUCUGGG
rnacentral:sRNA from 1 species